AGCGAACGCUAGCGGCGGGCUUAACACAUGCAAGUCGUGCGCUCUUCGGAGAGCGGCGAACGGGUGAGUAACACGUGGAUUACCUACCUUGAGGCGGGGGAUAACCCGGGGAAACCCGGGCUAAUACCGCGUAUGGCCUACGGGUCAAAGACUUCGGUCGCCUUGAGAUGGGUCCGCGGCCCAUUAUUUAAUCCUGGUUGGUGGGGUAAUGGCCUACCAAGGGUACGAUGGGUAGCUGGUCUGAGAGGACGAUCAGCCACACUGGGACUGAGACACGGCCCAGACUCCUACGGGAGGCAGCAGUGGGGAAUAUUGCGCAAUGGGGCGAAAGCCUGACGCAGCCACGCCGCGUGAGUGAUGAAGGCCUUCGGGUUGUAAAGCUCUGUCGGGAGGGAAGAAGAUCUGACGGUACCUCCCAAGAAA
rnacentral:rRNA from 1 species